rnacentral:tRNA from 1 species
GGAGGCGUGGCUGAGUGGUCGAAAGCGGCGGACUGUAAAUCCGUUACCAAGGUCGCGGUGGUUCGAAUCCACCCGUCUCCA